CUGGGGUCGGGCCCUCGCAGGGGGUUGGUGGAAGGCCGCGAGGGUGACCCCCAAACCCCAAUCCUGGCAUCACCAGAGCGAGCUUUUCCAGGCCGCCUUUUCCAGGCGAGCAGGCCUGGUGGAAAUGAGAUGUACAUUUACCCUUGACGCACUGCACGCCUGGCUGAGGCUCCCAGAUUACUAGGGAGUGGAGGAGACCCGGGGCUGGUAGAGGGGGCCGGAUUUGUUGUUGUUCUCUGCCGGAUAUCUAUCGCCAGUGUUCGGCGUGUGCAAUGGUGCGCAUUUAAACUCUGGAUCAAUGAGUGGCCUUUGGAACAGAAUGGGGAAAAAGAGAGAGCCCAGAUCUCAGUAAUACAAGGCACCUUCCAGAACCGUGUGAUUUCUUAGGUGCAGAAAAAAAAAAAAAAAGAAAAGAAAAAGAAAAGAAAAAGAAAAAGAAAAAAAAGAAACAGACACCACGAAAUUCAUUUCUACCCAUUCUGGCCUAAUUAAGAAAGCAUUACAGCACAACAUGUCCUCUUGGGACAAAACAUUUAAUUCCCCCCUCGCCCCCACCCCGUGCAUUCUGUUUAUAAUCUGAAUGGGGAAAGAGCGCGAUUAACUUUGUAAAUAAAGAUCUAUGCUUUUACA
rnacentral:lncRNA from 1 species